CCUACGGGUGGCAGCAGUGAGGAAUAUUGGUCAAUGGACGUGAGUCUGAACCAGCCAAGUAGCGUGAAGGAUGACUGCCCUAUGGGUUGUAAACUUCUUUUAUAUGGGAAUAAUAUGUUCCACGUGUGGAAUUUUGUAUGUACCAUAUGAAUAAGGAUCGGCUAACUCCGUGCCAGCAGCCGCGGUAAUACGGAGGUUCGGAGCGUUAUCCGGAUUUACUGGGUUUAAAGGACGCGUAGGUGGGUUGUUAAGUCAGUUGUGAAAGUUGGGGGCUCAACCGUAAAAUUGCAGUUGAAACUGGCAGUCUUGAGUACAGUAGAGGUGGGCGGAAUUCGUGGUGUAGCGGUGAAAUGCUUAGAUAUCACGAAGAACUCCGAUGGCGAAGGCAGCUCACUGGACUGCAACUGACACUGAGGCUCGAAAGUGUGGGUAUCAAACAGGAUUAGAUACCCUAGUAGUC
rnacentral:rRNA from 1 species